rnacentral:lncRNA from 1 species
UCGUCUUCAACCUUCGUCUUCUUCUUCCUCCCGACCGAGCGGGAGCAGCAGGGGAACACGGCGCGCACGGCAGAGCCGGCCGAGGGCGACCCGACGGUGGCUAGGGAAGGUGCGGAGGAGCUCAGGCGACCCUCCGGUACCGAAUGCGGUGUGCGGCGGCGCCUAGGCAAGUGGCACGACACGGCUGCCAUGACCGAGCUCGAGGAGAAAGAUGGGAGGGAGAGCACCCGGGAUGGCCUAUCCACGGUGAGCUCGUCGGCGGCGGAACGGCGGUCGGGGCGGCACAGCCAUCGGCAUUAA